ensembl:snRNA
GUCGUUUGUGAAAGCAGAGAAGGUUAGUACCUUCCUUGAUAAGAAUGGAAGAAGUCCUACUGGCCUGUACAACACCUGGUUAAGGCUCUGCCUCUUAUUUAAUGACAUCUAACCAAUUUGA